rnacentral:lncRNA from 1 species
UCAAAUAUCAUAAAACUUAUGGAUAAAGUUUUCUAACAUAAAAUUACACAUUCUCUGAAAUUUUGAGCCAAAAUCUUGUCAAACUGCUUAAGAUAUAGCUCAAGAGACAACCACUAGCAAAUCGGGUUACUUACUACCUUUAGAUUGCAUGCACUAACUUCAAAAUCCAACAACUCCUUCACUUCAAUUUGCAAUCCAGUAAGCAAUAUGUGAAAAGUAUAGCCGCAAAAGUGCUCUCUUUAGUUCCAAUCGCCCAUCCUCAAUUUCUAUCCGUAUGCAUGCAUUAUGUUAAUAAGAGUGACAGUAGCUCCCAAAUCAAUACCUUAACUUUGAGCACUUAUAUCGUCUUCAUAUAGACUCCAAACCAUACAAAACUUGCACCAAAAUCAUAGCCAAAAACCUAAACCUUUUAACCCUAGCCUUCAAAAUUCGAAUGGUUUCGAAAAACUAAUCCUAAUCUCUAAUAUGGCCUCGAGCAUCCUCGUCAAAGCCCAUUGGUCAUGAUUUUUGACCAAUAGGAAUGGUGAUUCUCAUCAUUCAUCUCCAUUCAUCUAUAUUAGUGCCC